rfam:Hordeum vulgare subsp. vulgare, WGS project CAJW01000000 data, contig: morex_contig_56177
GCCGUGAAGAGGAAGAAAUAGAGACCUUAAGAGCGCUAGGAAUGGGAACAUGGAGAAAAGCCAAAUGUAUUUCUUUUCACCCGUUCGAGAGGUGAAAAUAUUAUGUUUGGUAUUUUUCGAUGCCUCCCAUUCCUAUGGUUCUCGAGGACUCCUUCCUCUUCAUUUUGGCA